ACCUAACUGCAAAGAAGGAGCUGCCGAAGGCGGGACCGAUGACUGGGGUGAAGUCGUAACAAGGUAGCCGUAUCGGAAGGUGCGGCUGGAUCACCUCCUUUCUAAGGAA
rnacentral:rRNA from 1 species